UUGCCUCAGUAACGGCGAGUGAAGCGGCAACAGCUCAAAUUUGAAAUCUGGCCGUUCGGCGGUCCGAGUUGUAAUUUGUAGAGGAUGCUUCGGGUGCGGCGCCGGUCUAAGUUCCUUGGAACAGGACGUCAUAGAGGGUGAGAAUCCCGUAUGUGACCGGCGACCUGGCCCGUGUGAAGCUCCUUCAACGAGUCGAGUUGUUUGGGAAUGCAGCUCUAAGCGGGUGGUAAAUUUCAUCUAAAGCUAAAUACCGGCCAGAGACCGAUAGCGCACAAGUAGAGUGAUCGAAAGAUGAAAAGCACUUUGGAAAGAGAGUUAAAAAGUACGUGAAAUUGUUGAAAGGGAAGCGCUUGCGACCAGACUUGCUCACGGGCGAUCAGCCGUCCUUCUGGGCGGUGCACUCGCCGGUGAUCAGGCCAGCAUCGGUUCAGGCGGCCGGAUAAAGGCCCCGGGAACGUGGCUCCCCUCGGGGAGUGUUAUAGCCCGGGGUGCAAUGCGGCCCGCCGGGACCGAGGACCGCGCUUCGGCUAGGAUGCUGGCGUAAUGGUCGUAAGCGACCCGUCUUGAAACACGGACCAAGGAGUCUAACAUCUGUGCGAGUGUUUGGGUGUCAAACCCAUGCGCGGAAUGAAAGUGAACGGAGGUGGGAACCCUUCAGGGUGCACCAUCGACCGAUCCUGAUGUCUUCGGAUGGAUUUGAGUAAGAGCAUAGCUGUUGGGACCCGAAAGAUGGUGAACUAUGCCUGAAUAGGGUGAAGCCAGAGGAAACUCUGGUGGAGGCUCGCAGCGGUUCUGACGUGCAAAUCGAUCGUCAAAUUUGGGUAUAGGGGCGAAAGACUAAUC
rnacentral:rRNA from 1 species